rnacentral:misc_RNA from 1 species
GAUGAAGAACGCAGCGAAAUGCGAUAAGUAAUGCGAAUUGCAGAAUUCAGUGAAUCAUCGAAUCUUUGAACGCACAUUGCGCCCGCCAGUAUUCUGGCGGGCAUGCCUGUCUGAGCGUCGUUUCGACCCUCGCGCCCGGCUUCUGUCGGGGGCGGUGUUGGGGAUCGGCCACACCCUUCAGUGGGAGGCCGGCCCCUAAAUUCAGUGGCGACCACGCUGUAGCCUCCCCUGCGUAGUACUAAAACCACCUCGCAGGCGGAGAGCGGUGCGGCCCGCCGUAAAACCCCCCAACUUUUACAAGGUCGACCUAAGAUCAGGUAGGAAUACCCGCUGAACUUAAGCAUAUCAAUAAGCGGAGGA